UGGGGAAUAUUGCACAAUGGGCGAAAGCCUGAUGCAGCAACGCCGCGUGAGGGACGACGGCCUUCGGGUUGUAAACCUCUUUUAGCAAGGAAGAAGCGAAAGUGGCGGUACUUGCAGAAAAAGCGCCGGCUAACUACGUGCCAGCAGCCGCGGUAAUACGUAGGGCGCAAGCGUUAUCCGGAAUUAUUGGGCGUAAAGAGCUCGUAGGCGGUUUGUCGCGUCUGCUGUGAAAACCCGAGGCUCAACCUCGGGCCUGCAGUGAGUACGGGCAGACUAGAGUGCGGUAGGGGAGAUUGGAACUCCUGGUGUAGCGGUGGAAUGCGCAGAUAUCAGGAAGAACACCGAUGGCGAAGGCAGAUCUCUGGGCCGUAACUGACGCUGAGGAGCGAAAGGGUGGGGAGCAAACAGGCUUAGAUACCCUGGUAGUCCACCCCGUAAACGUUGGGAACUAGUUGUGGGGGUCCAUUCCACGGAUUCCGUGACGCAGCUAACGCAUUAAGUUCCCCGCCUGGGGAGUACGGCCGCAAGGCUAAAACUCAAAUGAAUUGACGGGGUCAUAGCUGUUUCCUG
rnacentral:rRNA from 1 species